CACAUACUCCCUCCGUCUUAAAAAAUUUGUCUUAGAUUUGUCUAGAUGUGAAUGUAUCGAGUCACGUUUUAAUAUUUUGAUACAUUCAUUUCUAGACAAACCUAAGACAAGAAUUUUGGGAUGAAGGGAGUAUACA
rfam:Hordeum vulgare subsp. vulgare, WGS project CAJW01000000 data, contig: morex_contig_1594761